rnacentral:misc_RNA from 1 species
GAUGAAGAACGUAGCGAAAUGCGAUAAGUAAUGCGAAUUGCAGAAUUCCGUGAGUCAUCGAAUCUUUGAACGCACAUUGCGCCCCAUGGUAUUCCGUGGGGCAUGCCUGUUCGAGCGUCAUUUACCCCCUCAAGCUCCGCUUGGUGUUGGGCGUCUGUCCCGCUUCGCGCGCGGACUCGCCCCAAAGGUAUUGGCAGCGGUCGUGCCAGCUUCUCGCGCAGCACAUUGCGCUUCUCGAGGCACCGGUGGGCCCGCGUCCAUCAAGCUCACCCCCCCAGUUUGACCUCGGAUCAGGUAGGGAUACCCGCUGAACUUAAGCAUAUCAAUAAGCGGAGGA